rnacentral:rRNA from 1 species
AUUGAACGCUGGCGGCAUGCCUUACACAUGCAAGUCGAACGGCAGCACGGGUGCUUGCACCUGGUGGCGAGUGGCGAACGGGUGAGUAAUACAUCGGAACGUACCUUAUCGUGGGGGAUAACGCAGCGAAAGCUGUGCUAAUACCGCAUACGCCCUGAGGGGGAAAGCGGGGGAUCGAAAGACCUCGCGCGAUUAGAGCGGCCGAUGCCUGAUUAGCUUGUUGGUAGGGUAAAAGCCCACCAAGGCGACGAUCAGUAGCUGGUCUGAGAGGACGAUCAGCCACACAGGGACUGAGACACGGCCCAGACUCCUACGGGAGGCAGCAGUGGGGAAUUUUGGACAAUGGGGGCAACCCUGAUCCAGCAAUGCCGCGUGAGUGAAGAAGGCCUUCGGGUUGUAAAGCCCUUUUGUCAGGGAAGAAACACCGGCUCUAACACAGUCCGGGAAUGACGGUACCUGAAGAAUAAGCACCGGCUAACUACGUGCCAGCCGCCGCGGUAA